CUCUCCUGAAGGGCCCUCGAAGAAAAGGGGGCGGGAGAGCGCGCCUGACGCCGACUGAGGACUCGACCAAGAAGGGGGCGUCCGGGCCUGGGAGAGCGGCACUGGCAGGGGCUGACGUGCAGCUCCUUCAGGUUCUCUUUAGCUGCAUAGCGCGGGGAAGCGCUUUUGAGAUGACUCGACGCACAGGAAUUUUACAUUUCAAGGGACCCAAGCAGAGAUGCUUUCAUUGGCGCGAGGAGAGGUCUGACUACCAAGUGGUGACUUAAUUCACGGGCCGGCAGUGGUUAUGUCUUCAGUGCCAGAGCUGGGCGAAGGACAUAGGAAAUGGGAAACGGAGAAGGCCAAGAAAAGCAGUAGAAGAUGAUAGUGGAGAGAAAAGGAAAAAUGGAGAACCCUCAACACAUGCCCUCAAGAACUUUUGUGGUGGCCCGGGUGUCACAGGGAGCGUGCCCUGAUUAAAUUUGCAUCAGAACUGAGUGCUUUUAAAAAUUGGCUUGGGUGUCCACCUGUCCUUUAAUUUGGUGGGUUAGUCUAUGUGAAGUGUACCUAAGUGGGUUUGGCAACCUGUACCAUCACCUGCACCCCUCCUCGCCCUUCUCUUUGGAAAUUCCCGGGGAGUGUGGUUGUUGAUAUCCGUCCCUGCUCCCCAGAGAGAUGUAGACUGUAUUAGUUCUUGAAGUGGUGUUGAGGCUGCUCAACAAAAGGCUGAGAGCUCUUAAAGGAUUGUGUUAGGUUGUAGAGUACCCCCGAACUGCAGUUGUUGGUUACGUGAUGUUGUUUGUAAAAUGUUGCAAAAACUUUUUAACCAAUGAUUUUACGAAUAUAAAUAAAGCUUGCGUUAUGUAACUUUUA